GAUUGAGCCACACCUGGCUUCUCUCCUCACCUGCUCCUGGGGUGCCAGAGGGCUGGAGGACAAUAGGCCAGAGGAGAAGUUGGAGAAAGGAUACAGCCAAGGACCUGACUGCCCUGUACCCCCCAGCCCCUGUCUAAUGCCCUUCCCCAUUGUCUCUCCCCAGGAGCAGCCUCCGUGCCCUGGAGAGGAACAUUGAAGCCCAGACCGGGAAGAACUUGAAUUACUUUUCUCCCCUUACCCUUCCCCAGUAAUUUGUUUCAAUAGAUUUUUGUUAACCGCAA